ensembl:lncRNA
CUCGUGAGAACGAGGUGGCGCGGCGGAGUGGGCGUGGAGCAGAAUUGAAGCCAGCUCUUUUGGAGGGAUGAACAUGGGAUGAGUUAAAGCAAGGCUCAUUCAAGCUUUCAGGGUGGUUCCAAUUCAGUCAGUUCUUCCAGUUGUGGAUCCACAUCCAUGGGCUCUCCAUCACUGUCAAGAAGGGCCAAGUAUAUGGGCCCAUUGGUACAGAGUCUCCCUAUUGGCCGCCACUUCUUGUUAGGAUAAGACUCAAUCAAGCCCUUUAUAAGAAGAUAGAACACAAGUCUCACUUGCAAAAAGAGCUCAGGUGACAAAAAUGUGGCAUUAUUGGGAGUUGAGGCCUAUGGCAACAGAGUCCCAAUUCUGAAGGCAGAAGAAUGGCGGAGGUGCUGAGUAGCUCUUUCCUGGGAAUGGCUUCCUGAUGCCUUUUACCUUGCCGAAGGGAACAUCUGCUCUUUGAGCACAGGAGGAAAAUGCUCCUGAUCCACAGCACAUUUUCUCAGUCUGAUUACGAGGGGAACAAGAAACAAGAUAUCCCAAGGGUUUUUAUGGAUUAAUGGAAUCAUUUUCCUGUAGAAUACGUGCAUUGAUCUCUCUAAAAUCUCUUCUCUUUGCUUUAAAGCAGUUCUUUCAAAACAAUCUCUUCAAAGCUUUCAGUCUAUUAUUUCCUUUCUGCAGGCACCAUUGCUAACUAACAACAAACUGAGCAGAGCUUUCUAGCUUUUCAGCCAAUGAAAAGUCCCUUCGGAAACAGAC